UGGGCCAGGCAUGGAACAAGGCAUUUGAUGAGCAUCAUUGAACACACAAACGAUGUUGAGGCACCACUGUGACCUGAAACCCCAUGCACAGGCAUCCACUCCACUGUGUGGGGGUUGAGCCAAGUGAAUAGAGCAACCCUUCACCUAGGGCAGAGUAGGAACGUUGUUGUGAACCCAGCCAUGACCAAUCGUCUGUGUUCUUCUCUCCGUGCCUAACAUUGUCAUCUCCCAUAUGCACCACUGGCCCACAUUUGAGAAAGAAUUCAAACUUCACUUCCUGACCAGGCUGGUCUCAAACUCCUGACCUCAAACCCCACUUUCUUCAUGAGGCUUGCUAUGACCCCACCACACCCACCAGAAAGUGGAUGGCUGGUAUCCAGUUUCCAUCCAAACUGCAGUCACCCUGCAAAAGAUGGAGGCACAGACUUGGCCCACUCUUCUCUCCACCAAAACUUACUGUGGUGUUCUCACAUCCACAUCUCAAGACAUCCCAGGGUUGAAUAUACUGCUCAACAAGCAGGGACCAGGGGCUCUAAAGUGCCUCCCAGUCACCACCAUCCUGAUUGAUCAUCAUCGUCACCACUGCCAUCAGCAGCAUCCCCACCAUCCAUCCAUCAUCUGUGAGCACCUCCUGUGCAUCA